rnacentral:rRNA from 1 species
UACGUAGGGUGCAAGCGUUGUCCGGAAUUAUUGGGCGUAAAGAGCUCGUAGGCGGUUUGUUGCGUCGGCUGUGAAAUCCCGAGGCUCAACCUCGGGUCUGCAGUCGAUACGAGCAAACUAGAGUGUUGCAGGGAGACUGGAAUUCCUGGUGUAGCGGUGAAAUGCGCAGAGUAUCAGGAGGAACACCGGUGGCGAAGGCGGGUCUCUGGGCAACAACUGACGCUGGAGGAGCGAAAGCCGUGGGAGCGAACAGG